ensembl:ncRNA mir-9388 mir-9388 stem loop
CAAGUAUUUUGGUACGUAUGUAUGUAUGUACAUACAUGUGUAUAUGGUACAUUCAUGUAGUACAUACAUACAUAUGUAUGCAAGUACGUACG